GACCGUGCAAAGGUAGCAUAAUCAUUUGCCUUAUAAUUGAAGGCUAGUAUGAAUGGUUUGACGAGAAUUAAGCUGUCUCUUCUUAAAUAGAUAUAAUUUUAUAUAUAGGUGAAGAAGCCUAUAUUUUAUUGAAAGACAAGAAGACCCUAUCGAGCUUUAAAGAAUUUAAUGGACUUAUCAUAUAUUUAUUAAAAAAGUAAGGCCAUUGAAAAUUUUGGUUGGGGCGACUGAGGAACAAAGAAAGCUUCCUUUUAUCUCAGAAAUCUACUAGUAUUGAUCCAAUAAAUUUGAUUAAAGGAAUUAGUUACCGUAGGGAUAACAGCAUAAUCUUCUUUGAGAGUUCCCAUCGAAAAGGAGGUUUGUGACCUCGAUGUUGGACCAGAAUACCCAGAAGAUGCAGCCGUCUUCAAUGGUUGGUCUGUUCGACCAUUAAAAUUCUACGUGAUCUGAGUUCAGACCGGCGUGAGCCAGGUCAGUUUCUAUCUUCAAUUUUUAAAAUAAUCUUAGUACGAAAGGACCAGAUUAUUACAAGAAUUUUUGUUAUAUUUGAUUAAAUAUAAAGAACAUUUCAAAGGAUGACAUAUCAAAUUAGCAAAGAUUAAUGCAAUUGACUUAGGAUCAAUAGACAUAGGUGGAAUCCCUUUAUUUGAUACAUAAAGAUGGCAGAAAAA
rnacentral:rRNA from 1 species